GUACAGGUGAUGUGCCCGCCGCGUCCUCGGAUCUGAUCACCCUCCGGAGGCGGGGGCGCAGGUUCGAAUCCUGCCGGGG
rnacentral:tRNA from 1 species